rnacentral:rRNA from 1 species
AGUCAUAUGCUUGUCUCAAAGACUAAGCCAUGCAUGUCUAAGUUUAAGCGAUUUAAACGGUGAGACUGCGGACGGCUCAUUAUAUCAGUUAUAGUUUAUUUGAUGGUCGAUUACUACAAGGAUAACCGUAGGAAUUCUAGAGCUAAUACUUGCACUUCAAACUGAUUUUUCAGUUGCACUUAUUAGAUUUACCACCAAUGCUCUUCGGAGCUUCGGUGAUUCAUAGUAAUUUAGCGGAUCGCUACGGCUUCGGCCGCGACGCUUCAUUCAAAUUUCUGCCCUAUCAGCUUUCGAUGGUAGUGUAUUGGACUACCAUGGCUUUGACGGGUAACGGAGAAUUAGGGUUCGAUUCCGGAGAGGGAGCCUGAGAAACGGCUACCACAUCUAAGGAAGGCAGCAGGCGCGCAAAUUACCCAAUCCCAACGCGGGGAGGUAGUGACAAGAAAUAACAACAACUAACCUAUUUCAGGUGAGUUGAUUGGAAUGAGUACAAUCUAAACACCUUAACGACUAUCCAU